rnacentral:lncRNA from 1 species
UUCCAGUUAGAUCCGUGCUUUACCGGUGCCGUUCUGAUAAUUUGAAAGUGGAUUUUCUGUUUUUCUGUUGAGUUUUCCUUGGCCUAUAUCGAAUCUGUGAGUUUUUAUUGAGUGGAGUUCUUGAAGAUGUGCCUGGCUCAACGGUCUCUGCCCCAGUAUCAGCCAUCAGGUGAUAACUGCCCAAAAUCUAACAAGAAGACAGGCCCAGAAACUCCUGCCCCAACUUCUGAAUCGUGGGAAUUUCCUUUCUUUUACAGGAAGAAAAUUGGGACAGUCUUCGAAGCCGUAUCAGGGCCAAUUCCCUUUCUUUGAGAUUAAGACUCUGGUGAGAGGGAGCCCCAUUCCCGAUCGUCUUUAUCGGAGAAGCCUUUGAGAAAUUGUCCUAUUUCCUUACCUGCUGUCCGGGGUCAAUUCCUUUGUAUCGAGGGGCUUUCCUUCCUAGGUCUAUUCCUUCUCUCCACUUAUUCGGUAUGUCCGCCCAGUCGUCAAAGCUUUUCCUUUCCUUUUAACUAAGCCUUCCC